GUGUCGGACGUUACCAAACUGUUGCCUCGGCGGGGUCACGCCCCGGGUGCGUCGCAGCCCCGGAACCAGGCGCCCGCCGGAGGAACCAACCAAACUCUUUCUGUAGUCCCCUCGCGGACGUAUUUCUUACAGCUCUGAGCAAAAAUUCAAAAUGAAUCAAAACUUUCAACAACGGAUCUCUUGGUUCUGGCAUCGAUGAAGAACGCAGCGAAAUGCGAUAAGUAAUGUGAAUUGCAGAAUUCAGUGAAUCAUCGAAUCUUUGAACGCACAUUGCGCCCGCCAGUAUUCUGGCGGGCAUGCCUGUCCGAGCGUCAUUUCAACCCUCGAACCCCUCCGGGGGAUCGGCGUUGGGGAUCGGGACCCCUCACACGGGUGCCGGCCCCGAAAUACAGUGGCGGUCUCGCCGCAGCCUCUCCUGCGCAGUAGUUUGCACAACUCGCACCGGGAGCGCGGCGCGUCCACGUCCGUAAAACACCCAACUUUCUGAAAUGUUGACCUCGGAUCAGGUAGGAAUACCCGCUGAACUUAAGCAUAUCAAA
rnacentral:rRNA from 1 species